AUGUGUACAUGUUUAAGCCCGAAGCAACCCAACUCCGUUUUGAUUUUACAAGAGCUGGACCGGUGUUGAAAGCUGGGCCCGAGGGGAAUUUUAAAUAUUCAUAUCCACCCGGAUCUGUGUACAGGGCCGAUUUGGAUAAUAGUUCCAUGGUGACACAGAUUUGUGAGCCUCUCAGUGAAAAUGAAUGUGAAAAGUGGACGACGUGUUGCCAGACGGCCACCAAAUGUUGUCUACGUCAGCAGAACCUGCCGACUGCGUCACAGAAUUGGUCGCACUGUCCACGGACAUGGGAUGGUUUCGGUUGCUUUGACGACACCUCGGCCGGAAGUACGGCAUAUAUCUCAUGUCCGUCGUACGUCGAACAUGCAAGCGAUCAAGAGACGGCCUACAAAGUGUGCUGGCCGAAUGGUACCUGGUACGUCCACCCCCACACAGGCAAACAAUGGUCCAACUAUAGCACAUGUGUCCAAGGCAAGGUCAAGGAUCAGAUGGUGCUUAUUUACCUUGGGUUGGGCUGUAACCUGAUCAGUCUAUCUUUGCUGAUUCCUUCCUGUGCUAUCUUCCUAGCAUUCAGGCAACUGCGGAUCCAACAACGAGUGCGGCUCCACAUUUGCUUUUUCUCGUCCUUCAUAGCGAGUGCCAUUAUAGCGAUAUUGUGGGACUUCAUCGUGGUGUCCGACAGGAUGAACAGUCCGGGGGACGAAAGCGCUGUGCAACAAAACACGGGAGGGUGCAAGUUUCUGUACGUCCUGAAGCGCUACACCCAGUCCGCCACCUACUUUUGGAUGUUCUGUGAGGGGUUCUAUCUCCAUCGACUUAUCGUCCGAGCGUUUGAGAUCCCCAAAUCGCUCAUCAUUUACUACUUCAUUGGAAUUGGUGGCCCCUGGAUAUCAACCAUCGUGUACGCCAUCAUAAAGGCCUCCGUGUCAGAAUACGACCAGAAAUGCUGGGUCAAUAACAUCAAUGGAUUCGAGUGGUUGAUCUAUACGCCUAACCUUCUAUGUCUGUUUGCGAGCUAUCAAGGCCACUUUUGUUCUCAUCCCGCUUUUCGGAAUCCAGUGGGGUCCAGUCAUUUACAGACCCGCUAAUACAAUGUGGUACGAGGUACUCCGAAUAGUUAUCCAGCAUACCCAGGGUGCAUUUGUUUCAUUGAUAUUUUGUAUCUUUAAUGGCGAGGUACAUGGGCACCUGAAGAACUGCUUCAGUCGCAUUUCCGGUAGACCUCUAUACAGGCCUCGGCGCGAACUCAGUACUACUUCCGGUACUGUGUAUACGCAGGUGCGAACUUCCACCGCCGUGGAUUUCAACAGAGACUCUUAUGUGCGAGACUCGUUCAACCGUGACUCAUAUGUUCGAGACUCGUUCAACCGUGACUCGUUGCACAAAGAUGACCCAGUGUUAAACGGGAAAGCAGAAACUGUUCCAUUGAACUCCAACGAAUCGUCUUUUUCUGGCGAUAAACAAGAAAAUGGAUUUUUAAUGGAGUCGGAAUUGAAGUGAAUAUUUGACUGUACUGGUGACAUAAACCAUUUAAAUAACAAUCAUUUAUUUUUUGUUCUUGAAGAAUCGAAUACUUAUUAUUUUGAUCAUGUACACAAAAAAUUAAUGUAUGCCGGACUAUU
rnacentral:misc_RNA from 1 species